AGGAACUGCUAGGGGUGCAGGAUGCUGAGACAAGGUGUGAACCUUGAUCCCUUUGAACCUGAUCUGGGUAAUGCCAGCGAAGGGAAGUAGUGAGGGCGAAAU
rnacentral:ncRNA from 2 species